CACGUAGGGGCCAAGCGUUGUCCGGAUUCAUUGGGCGUAAAGAGCUCGUAGGCGGUUCAGUUAGUCGGGUGUGAAAACUCCAGGCUCAACCUGGAGACGCCACCUGAUACUGCUGUGGCUAGAGUCCGGUAGGGGAGCAUGGAAUUCCUGGUGUAGCAGUGAAAUGCGUAGAUAUUACUAGGAACACCAAUGGCGAAGGCAGCUUGCUGGGCUACUCCUGACACUGAGGUACGAAAGCGUGGGGAGCGAACAGG
rnacentral:rRNA from 1 species